rnacentral:rRNA from 1 species
AGCUCCAAUAGCGUAUAUUAAAGUUGUUGCAGUUAAAAAGCUCGUAGUUGGAUUUCGGGAUGGGCCAGUUGGUCGGCCGCAAGGUCUGUUACUGACUGGUUUGUUCUUCUUCGCAAAGACUGCGUGUGCUCUUUACUGAGUGUGCGUAGGAUUUACGACGUUUACUUUGAAAAAAUUAGAGUGUUCAAAGCAGGCUAUCGCUUGAAUACAUGAGCAUGGAAUAAUGGAAUAGGACUUUGGUUCUAUUUUGUUGGUUUCUAGGGCCGAAGUAAUGAUUAAGAGGGACAAUUGGGGGCAUCCGUAUUUCGUUGUCAGAGGUGAAAUUCUUGGAUUUACGAAAGACGAACAACUGCGAAAGCACUUGCCAAGAGUGUUUUCAUUAAUCAAGAACGAAAGUAGG